CCCUUUGGGCAUAGAAAAUAAAAUACAAGCAAGCUCAUGAGGAUUGCAGUUAGCCAGUUACAGGAAAGCUAGCUUGUUGAGAGUAUAAUAAUUAAAUUAUAUUUUAGCAAUGGCGAAGACAUUAAAUUACGUAAAGGACAAGACUAAGCUCGGUUUAUUUUAGCAGAAUAUUUCAAAUAGAACGAAACACCAAACCCCACCUUUGGUUUUACACGCCAAGUGUUGAUUGGCUAGAUGCUAACUGCUAUUUGAUUAUGUUUCUGUCAAAUUCUAUCCACUUUUCCAAACAAAAAAGGUGCAACGACUGGGCUACCCCUGCUAUGCCUUUUCACUGUCUCACCUUUUUGACCCAUUUUGUCACCAUCAUCGCCAAUCCAUCCACACAUCUCUUCUUCGUAUGCCAUAGUUCUCUUGCGGUCCACGCGUCGCCCUUUGCGCCUUUCUCUAACCCAACUAGGGUAACCUUACAGCCUGUUGUUUUAACCAGUCUUUCAGUGACCGAAUCCAUGUGCGCUAUCGUUACUACUCCACUAUACGACGACCCCUUGUGAUGCUAGCUUUUCCAUCUUUUCUUCAUUUUUCCUACGUGUCGCAGCUGGACCAUACUCUCUCUUCACACCGCCACGUGUUCACGGAAUCGCAAUUCCAGGAGAGAGAAAUUUUUUGACGAAAGCACACUUGGUGGUCCAUCCGAUACCUUUAAUACGGACGUGUAUGUCUCUUAUUGGACCACUUUUAAACUAUAUGGGGCCACUGGGCCUUCGCUUUUUAGCUUCCUCUAGACACGUUUAUUGACAUCCCCAAAAACUCGAUAUAUCACGAUAAGCAAUUGCUACGGAAGAAGAAGAAGAAAGGCGGAGAUGAAUAGUCUGGCUGGACACGUGGCUUAAGUUCUGGGAAUGGUGGUCGGUGACGGGCAGAAAGGGCUGCCCUUGGAGCUGGCUUGCCCAGGAGGCUUACAUGAGAAAUCGAGAAAACACAACACGUUGCCUUUCUUCUCGUACGUCUCUCUGAAACGGAACGAGAAAAACACUUUUUUUUUCCCCCUAAUUUGCCUCUCUCUCUUUUGUUUAUCUAUGGUCUGUUAUUCUCUCUUAAGAAUUACCGAUAAUGAUUGAUUGCCCACGGCGACAUGACGUCCGCUGAGGUUUCCUUCCGGGAGGUUUGUCAAUGACUGACGCGCUUGUGUCGAAGAAUGCUUAGGGACGAGGACGAAGAUUCGCUGGAGAAAUGCACGGAACGCCGUCGUAGGAGAAUCGAGAUGAGGAGGCUCGCCUCCACAUCCGAAGAUGGUACGACUCCUCCGGUAAGUGAAAGCCAUGUGGAGAGUUCUAGUUGUGUUGCCAAAAGAAAGCGAAUUCGGACUGCAGAGACGGAAGGUUCCCCGGAGGCAUGCUUACCAGUCUCGUCCGAAGAUAACGUGGAGAGCGAGGCGGUCAAUAAGCCACUUACCGGACCUUCUCUGGGUGAGCCGACUUUUGGGACUAUGUCAGUAGCGGGGAGGUCACGUGAGAUGGAGGAUGCAAUAGCUGCAUGCACAAGCCUUUGCAGGCCAGAGAUCAAUGGAAGGAGACCGGUGCAUUUUUUCGGUGUGUAUGACGGUCAUGGCGGGUCUCACGUGGCAGAAUUAUGUAGGGAGAGGAUGCACGUGUUCUUGGAGAGAGAAUUGAUGCGCGUGGACCACACUGACAGUAGUGAGAAUGGUGACAGUAGCAGCAGUGGCAACUCAGGGGAACGUCAACUCCAAAGACAAGGAGGAGUUGAAGAGAAGUGGAGGAGGGUGUUGAAGAGGAGCUUCGAGUUGAUGGACGAGGCGGCAUUAAGCAAGUGCGCGUGUGGGGGCGUUGGAUUCGAUUGUGGUUGCCAUCUCAUGGAGGUGGCGCUCGGAGGGUCCACUGCAGUUGUGGCGGUCUUGACUUCAGAGAACAUUGUUGUUGCCAAUUGCGGUGACUCACGCGCCAUCCUCUGCCGGGGCGGGAGGGCCGUUCCAUUAAGUUUCGAUCACAAGGUUAGUUUGUAAUUUGAACGCACUGCGACGGUACUCUGGCGCUGUACUUGUUGAUGCGAAAGUGAAACGCAUGGAUUUGCCAUCUGUGGUGUUUGAACCACACAGGUGGCUUUUGUUUCUAUUCGACAUUGCCAAAGGCUAGAUUCCUGUUUUUUCUUCAGGCCAUUCCCUUGCCGUUGUAUAUAAAAAACACAAAACAAAACAAAACUCUCAUAGCUCUCACCUUAGCUGGUAGUUUAGGACGCGUGUAUUUUUACGUGUGUGUAUUAUUUCUAACGCCGUGAGAGAACAGAACGCGGCGAUUUAUUAAACUCGGAUGAUCUCCAAUCCUAUUAAACAUUAGGAUCUCCAUUAUCUGCUAUAUAAGCUUCAAUAAUAUCGUGACUUUGCG
rnacentral:misc_RNA from 1 species